UGCGAGGGCAUACAGUCCUCGCUUUUCUGUACCGUAAGGUGGUACAGGAACAAGGGCUGGGCAAGACCGGUGCCAGCCGCCGCGGUAAUACCGGCAGCCCGAGUGAUGGCCGAUAUUAUUGGGCCUAAAGCGUCCGUAGCCGGCCGGACAAGUCCGUUGGGAAAUCCACGCGCCUAACGCGUCNGCGUCCAGCGGAAACUGUCCGGCUUGGGGCCGGAAGACUCGAGGGGUACGUCCGGGGUAGGAGUGAAAUCCCGUAAUCCUGGACGGACCGCCGGUGGCGAAAGCGCCUCGAGAGGACGGACCCGACGGUCAGGGACGAAAGCUAGGGUCUCGAACCGGAUU
rnacentral:rRNA from 1 species